GCAAUGGCGUGCAACACGUGGCAGAUCACAGCGCGGCAGGCCACACUGGUGUUGGAGGUUGGUGUUGUGGUUGGUGGUGGAGCUAACCAGCUGCGACUGAAAGCAGUGGAGGCCCUCGCGACGCGAGCAUCGACAAAGACGAGACAGUCUCGUGGCUCGUGCGGGGCUUUUGCAGCGCCGAAAACCAGCCAGGACCUCGCAGGAUCCCUCGCAUGGCGCCUGGGAGGUGCUGAGCGUCGCUGACGAGGUCCGAAAGGCAUCGGCGCAGUCGUCUGGACUCCCCCCUGCCUCUCAUCGGGAGUCGAGAUCUGCAGGCAUCCUCCGUAGUCGCACCAGCUGGGGUCGUCCGCAUGGUGUUCAUGGUGGAUGUCCUGUGCCACUGAGGCUGAACCGCACCUUGACAGCGCCAUUUGCUGAGUGCGAGCAUGGAGCCUCGGUUUGCGGGCUUCCCGACCGUCUGGGAGCCGUACACGCCUGACCGGCUGGCCGACCUGGCCGGUCGGCAGUGCCUCCUGCAGCUGUCUCAGCUGGUGGCCGUUGGGCCAGAGCUCAGGCUUCCGGCUCCAUUGUGCGAACGACUCUUGAAGCUGGCUGGAGAUGAUCAUUACCCAGGUUGCACUGCUGCCUGGUGUUCGCUUAUUGAGCUACUGAUGAUGGCACCUGAUCGCACCCGCUUGGAGAGGCUGCGGGUGCCACCAAACCGGCCAUUGAGCGACGAUGAACUGGCGGCCCUGGUCGUGAUGCACCCGGUGCGGGAGUUGGAGCUCGGCAGGUGUGCAGGCCUGACGCCACGAGUGCUUCCGCUCCUGGCACAGGGCCUUGCAAUCUCGACGGGGACGCUGCAGUCCCUCACCAUGCCUCCGCACUUACUACAGCAGGAUGCCGGCUGGACAGGCCUUUCGUGGCUGUGGUCCCAGACGUCCCUGGAGCGCCUGUCACUCUCUCGAGCAGGACCACAGCUUCCAGCCAAUGCCCACUGGACUCUCUUGCGGUCACUGCGACAGCUCGACCUGUCUCACUGCAGCAUGCCGCUUGGGGAGCACCUUGCCGGGUUGGAAGCACUGGCUCCAACUCUCGCUUGGCUCAGCUUGGCUGAUGUGCCAAAGUUGCACCUCGGGCUCGAGGUUCUGUGUCAACUCAAGGCCCUCAGGCACCUGGACCUGUCGCAGAGCACUAACAAACAGGGGCAGGGGUUCUAUCCCCAGCCAAAUGCUUGGCUCUCCAUGCUAGCCGAGUCGCUGCCUGAGCUGACCUCGCUUGACCUCUCGGGCACCAACCUGCCUGGCAAGGAACCGACCACUCCUCAUGAUCAAAACAAGAGUCCUGGGACUGGGAUGCAGUCGUCAAUUCCAGGUCUUCAGUGCCGUGUGGAGCGCCCCCUGGACUUUCUUGGGCUCCUGAACACACCGUGUGAUGCUUGCUACCGCUCCAACAUCCCUGCUCUCAGGGUGUCGGGGGAUGCCACGGAGGAGCAGGUGCUUGUGUCAGCACAGGCAUACCAGUCACGGCCCCUUAUGCUGCAGAAGGUGCUUAACGACCUCUUCCAUGUGUUCCGCUACGAGGCCUGUGACCAUCCGCGCCUGGCGCUGGAUGUUGUGCUUUCCUCGAUGGCUCGGCACCCCAACGACAAGCAUAUUCAGAUUGCUGGAAGUGCAUCACUUUUUUACCUGGUGAAAGGCGAGGAGAGGGCAAACUUUAAUGUCAGCAUUCGAAGGAAGAUCAUCAAGUGUUUGCUGGAUGCCAUGGGCUACCAUCGAACUUAUACAACGAUGCUGCGAAAUGGCUGCCUGACCAUGAUUCACUUUAAAAUACCCCAGGAUGUGCUGUUCGACUAUGAGCGGUUGGUGGACAUGCUGCUGUACAUAGUGUCCCAGUAUGACCAGGAUGAGUUUGUUCAGCGCAUUGGCAUCUACUUGCUCAACUCGCUGGCCUGCCAAGUCGACGGUUCCCAGAAGCGCCUUGUUGGUGACAAGGGAGCCAUCGGGAUAAUGCUUCAGUUAAUUGACGGUCGACUGAGGACUCACACGUCCGAUGAGGUCAUGGAGACUGCGUGGAGCACCAUGUGGAAUGUCACUGACGAAACACCAAUCAACUGUGAGAGGUUCCUGGACGGUGGGGGAAUGACAUUGUUUCUUGAGUGUUUGCGGAUUUUCACGGACAAGCCUGAACUGCUGCGAAACAUGAUGGGACUGCUGGGCAACGUGGCUGAAGUACGGGAGCUCAGGCCACGGCUCAUGCGUGACGAGUACCUUCUUGUGUUCAGUGAGCUGCUGGACAGCGAGAGUGAUGGCAUCGAGGUGAGCUACAAUGCAGCAGGCAUCCUGGCACACAUCCUAUCAGAUGGGGCUGAGAGCUGGGACCAGGCUGCCAUCCAGGCUGUCUCGCGUGGUCAAGUGCUAAUGCGCAUGCGGCGGGCCAUUGACCGCUGGGCACUGGACACCAAGCGCAACAUCAACUACCGUUCUUUCGAGCCGAUCCUACGACUACUGCAGUGUGAACACACCCCGGAGGCCCAACACUGGGCUGUCUGGGCCCUGGCCAAUCUUACUAAAGUCUACCCUGGCAAGUACUGCCCUCUGGUGCGAGAAGAGGGUGGCCUCGAGAUGCUUGAACAACUGAUGCGGAGCCCUAGGCCAUACCCACGUAUCCACGAACUCGCCAAGCUCAUCAUUGAUCAGUGUGUCAAGUACGACGACGUUCAGUUGCGGCAGAUGAGCUUUGAGAUAAGAAGGGCGCACUUGGGCAUAAAGAGGGGCACCCGGUGGCGUUAAGGAACCAAACAAGUGGUGUCUAUCAACUGGAGUGGUGCUUCCCGACUGGAGAGUGGGCAUGGGUUAACUUCAUCCAGCAACCAGACUGAGCAUGGCGAUUCAAUGUUCCUGGAAGAAGAGACUGCGUGACAGACAGCCCCUGCGUUGGGUCGCCAAAAAGAUUUGCAAUAAACGAUGCUGCUGCGAGUCGUGCAGCGUUUUCGCGCCA